AAAUAAGCUGGUAUAAGGUUGGAACUGCUGUUCCACCCUUCAUGGAACAAGCUUGUUCCCGGAUGAGAACAAGGUUAAUUAAAGUCUAAAUUUAAUUUUAAUAACAGUAAAUCAUUAAUUAAUCUCUUUAAUAUAUUUGAAUUAUUAUUUAUUACUUAAAUAAUAAAAUAAAUAAUUAAUUAAUUAUUUAGAAUCAAUUAUUAAUAAUUAUAUAAUAAUUAUUAUUAAUAUGUUAUUUAUUAUUAAUUUAUUAUUUAUAAUUAUUUAUUAAUAAUUAUUAAUAAUUAUUAUUCUUAAUAAUUAGAUAAUCAAUAUUCUUAUUAAUUUAUUAUUUAGAAUUAAUUAUUAAUAAUUUUUAUAAUUAUUAUUAUUUAUUAAUAAAUAUUAUUAACAAUUAGAUAAUCGAUAUUAUUAUUAAUUAGUAAUUAUUAAUAAUUAUUACUAAUAAUUAGAUAAUCGAUAUUAGUAUUAAUUUAUUAUUUAUAAUUAUUUAUUAAUAAUUAUUAUUAUUUAUAAUUAAUUAUUAAUAAUUUAUUUAUUAUUUAUUUUUAAGUAAUAUUUUGAUGUUAAUUAAUUAGAUAAUAUAAUUUUAAUUUCAAAUUAUAACUCUUAUUUCUCACGUUCCAAUCUAAUUAACCAUCAAAAUACUAUUUAUCUUAUUUGUAGGAACAACCCAAUUUUCAUCCAAACGCAAAAUUGAUCUAGUUCCUACUUAUACCUGAACUUGUACCUAUUCCUGGAAUAAGCAGUUCUUACUUGUACCCGAACCAAACACUAAAUAAAUUUUGUGCUCAAGUAUAUAACGUAUCAGUUUCUUGACAGCAAAUAUGAGCGCCAAACAAU
rnacentral:lncRNA from 1 species